rnacentral:lncRNA from 1 species
UUACUUUAUAAUGAUAAUGAGUUAUAUUACCAUACAACUAAUAUAAGAUAUAAAAGGGGGAAAAGUCGCAUCAAAUGUUUACGUACCCUUUUAACUAAAAUUUACGUGUUACGCCAUGUCGUAACACACAUUUUGUGAAAAUAUUUUGUCGAUAUCUUAUAGGAUUUCUGAAAAUAAGAGAUAACAAGCCAAAAUCAUAUUUU